rnacentral:tRNA from 1 species
GGUUAUGGCUUAGUGGUAAAGUGCCUGCUUAGAACAAAUGAGGCACUGGGUUCAAUCCUCAGCACCA